rnacentral:tRNA from 3 species
GCCGGGAUGGCCGAGUGGACCAAGGCGCCAGCCUUGAGAGCUGGUGUCCCCCUUGGGACGCGCGGGUUCGAAUCCCGCUCCCGGCG